rnacentral:rRNA from 1 species
CAGUCGCCGCGGUAAUACGGAGGGAGCUAGCGUUGUUCGGAAUUACUGGGCGUAAAGCGCGCGUAGGCGGUUACUCAAGUCAGAGGUGAAAGCCCGGGGCUCAACCCCGGAACUGCCUUUGAAACUAGGUGACUAAAAUCUUGGAGAGGUCAGUGGAAUUCCGAGUGUAGAGGUGAAAUUCGUAGAUAUUCGGAAGAACACCAGUGGCGAAGGCGACUGACUGGACAAGUAUUGACGCUGAGGUGCGAAAGCGUGGGGAGCAAACAGGAUUAGAUACCCCGGUAGUCCCUGUCUCUUAUAC